rnacentral:rRNA from 1 species
GAUGAACGCUGGCGGCGUGCUUAACACAUGCAAGUCGAACGAUGAAGCCCAGCUUGCUGGGUGGAUUAGUGGCGAACGGGUGAGUAACACGUGAGUAACCUGCCCUUAACUCUGGGAUAAGCCUGGGAAACUGGGUCUAAUACCGGAUAGGAGCGCCUACCGCAUGGUGGGUGUUGGAAAGAUUUAUCGGUUUUGGAUGGACUCGCGGCCUAUCCGCUUGUUGGUGAGGUAAUGGCUCACCAAGGCGACGCCGGGUAGCCGGCCUGAGAGGGUGACCGGCCACACGGGGACUGAGACACGGCCCAGAAUCCUACGGGAGGCAGCAGGGGGGAAUAUUGCACAAUGGGCGCAAGCCUGAUGCAGCGACGCCGCGUGAGGGAUGACGGCCUUCGGGUUGUAAACCUCUUUCAGUAGGGAAGAAGCGAAAGUGACGGUACCUGCAGAAGAAGCACCGGCUAACUACGUG